UGCAAGUCGAACGAACUCUGGUAUUGAUUGGUGCUUGCAUCAUGAUUUACAUUUGAGUGAGUGGCGAACUGGUGAGUAACACGUGGGAAACCUGCCCAGAAGCGGGGGAUAACACCUGGAAACAGAUGCUAAUACCGCAUAACAACUUGGACCGCAUGGUCCGAGUUUGAAAGAUGGCUUCGGCUAUCACUUUUGGAUGGUCCCGCGGCGUAUUAGCUAGAUGGUGGGGUAACGGCUCACCAUGGCAAUGAUACGUAGCCGACCUGAGAGGGUAAUCGGCCACAUUGGGACUGAGACACGGCCCAAACUCCUACGGGAGGCAGCAGUAGGGAAUCUUCCACAAUGGACGAAAGUCUGAUGGAGCAACGCCGCGUGAGUGAAGAAGGGUUUCGGCUCGUAAAACUCUGUUGUUAAAGAAGAACAUAUCUGAGAGUAACUGUUCAGGUAUUGACGGUAUUUAACCAGAAAGCCACGGCUAACUACGUGCCAGCAGCCGCGGUAAUACGUAGGUGGCAAGCGUUGUCCGGAUUUAUUGGGCGUAAAGCGAGCGCAGGCGGUUUUUUAAGUCUGAUGUGAAAGCCUUCGGCUCAACCGAAGAAGUGCAUCGGAAACUGGGAAACUUGAGUGCAGAAGAGGACAGUGGAACUCCAUGUGUAGCGGUGAAAUGCGUAGAUAUAUGGAAGAACACCAGUGGCGAAAGCGGCUGUCUGGUCUGUAACUGACGCUGAGGCUCGAAAGUAUGGGUAGCAACAGGAUUAGAUACCCUGGGUAGUCCAUACCGUAACGAUGAUGCUAGUGUUGGAGGGUUUCGCCCUCAGUGCUGCAGCUACGCAUAGCAUCCGCCUGGGGGAGUACGGCGCAGGCUGAAACUCAA
rnacentral:rRNA from 2 species